GGUGUUUCUGAACAACAAUUUUAUCAACUGUGUCCUGAUCUUCAAAAGUUACAAAAGCAAAUCCUCUCUCUUUCCACUCUGCCUGUCUUCCAUAACUUCUAUGGUUUCAAUCUUGCCAUACUUUUCAAAGUAGUCUCUCAGAUUAUAUUCUUCUCUAUCCUCUCUAAUACCACCAACAAAAAUUUUCUUCACCAUUAAAUGGGCAACAGGCUUUACAGAAUCCUCUCUAGAAACAGCUCUUUGGUUCCACCACACGUCCAUCAACCUUGUGUGGCUGAGCACACAUUGCAGCAUCCACCUCUUCCACAUAAGAGUAGGUCACAAAACCAAAGCCUCUGGAAUGUUGUGUUUGAGGAUCUCUCAUUACCACAGUCUGUAAGUGUGCCCCAUUUCUCAAAAUGUUCUCUUAAGCUAUCACCUGUGCUUUCAAAGCUCAACCACCAAUAAACGGCUUCCUCACUGCUCUGGCUCCUUUGCAUCCGCCCCCAACCCCAACCCCACCUCUACUCCAGCCUACUGAGGCU
rnacentral:lncRNA from 1 species